GGGUGUGAUCAUACCAGCUUUAGUGCACCGGAUCCCAUCAGAACUCCACAGUUAAGAGCGCUUGGGCUGGAGUAGUACUGGGAUGGGUGACCUCUCGGGAAGUCCUAGUGUUGCACCCUU
rnacentral:rRNA from 1 species